GGAAAGAUGCAGGAGUGGUUGAACUGGCACGCCUGGAAAGCGUGUGUACCUGCAAGGGUACCGUGGGUUCGAAUCCCACUCUUUCCG
rnacentral:tRNA from 2 species